rnacentral:rRNA from 1 species
UACGUAGGGGGCAAGCGUUGUCCGGAAUUAUUGGGCGUAAAGAGCGUGUAGGCGGUCCGGUAAGUCAGCUGUGAAAGUCAAGGGCUCAACCCUUGAAUGCCGGUUGAUACUGUCGGGCUAGAGUCCGGAAGAGGCGAGUGGAAUUCCCGGUGUAGCGGUGAAAUGCGCAGAUAUCGGGAGGAACACCAAUGGCGAAGGCAGCUCGCUGGGACGGUACUGACGCUGAGACGGCGAAAGCGUGGG